UAGUACGGCGAGUGAGAGGGAAGAGCCCAAGAUUGAAAGCUGGCGUCUUCGGCGUCCGCAUUGUAAUCUCAAGAAGUGUUUUCCGCUUCGGACCAUGCCUAAGUCCCUUGGAAAAGGGCAUCAUAGAGGGUGAUAAUCCCGUACAUGGCAUGGAGCGCCCGAGGCUUUGUGAUACGCUUUCUAAGAGUCGAGUUGUUUGGGAAUGCAGCUCAAAAUGGGUGGUAAAUGCCAUCUAAGGCUAAAUAUUGGGGAGAGACCGAUAGCGAACAAGUACAGUGAUGGAAAGAUGAAAAGAACUUUGAAAAGAGAGUUAAACAGUACGUGAAAUUGCCAAAAGGGAAGGGUAGGAGGUCAGAGAUGCGGCCUGGGAUUCAGCCUUGCUUUUGCUUGGUGUUUUUCCCAGAUUGCAGGCCAACGUCGGUUUUGGGCACUGGAGAAGGGUAGGAGGAACGUGGCACCUCUCGGGGUGUGUUAUAGCCUCCUACUGGAUACAGCGACCGAGACCGAGGACAGCAGCGUACUCGCAAGAGCGGGCCUUCGGGCACCUUUACGCUUAGGGCGUUGGCAUAAUGGCCCUCUACCACCCGUCUUGA
rnacentral:rRNA from 1 species